GUGGGGAAUCUUCCGCAAUGGACGAAAGUCUGACGGAGCAACGCCGCGUGAGGGAAGAAGGCCUUCGGGUUGUAAACCUCUGUCCUUGGUGACGAAAAAAAUGACGGUAGCCAAGGAGGAAGCCCCGGCUAACUACGUGCCAGCAGCCGCGGUAAGACGGAGGGGGCAAGCGUUGUUCGGAAUUACUGGGCGUAAAGGGCGCGUAGGCGGACAGCUUAGUCAGAGGUGAAAGCCCAGGGCUCAACCUUGGAAUUGCCUUUGAUACUGGCUGUCUUGAGUUUGGGAGAGGUGAGUGGAACUCCGAGUGUAGAGGUGAAAUUCGUAGAUAUUCGGAAGAACACCAGUGGCGAAGGCGACUCACUGGCCCAAUACUGACGCUGAGGCGCGAAAGCGUGGGGAGCAAACAGGAUUAGAAACCCUGGUAGUCC
rnacentral:rRNA from 1 species